AACGUACGCUGGCGGCACGCCUAACACAUGCAAGUCGAACGAAGUAGCAAUACUUAGUGGCAGACGGGUGAGUAACAUGUGGGUAUCUACCCUUUGGCCUGGAAUAACACGAGGAAACUUGUGCUAAUACCGGAUAAGUCUUUACGGAGAAAGCUUUAUGCACCAUUGGAUGAGCCCGCACUUGAUUAGUUUGUUGGUAGGGUAAUGGCCUACCAAGACUAUGAUCAAUAGCUGAUUUGAGAGGAUGAUCAGCCACAUUGGGACUGAGACACGGCCCAAACUCCUACGGGAGGCAGCAGUGGGGAAUCUUGCACAAUGGAGGAAACUCUGAUGCAGCGAUGCCGCGUGAGUGAAGAAGGCCUUUGGGUUGUAAAGCUCUUUCGUCGGGGAAGAAAAUGACUGUACCCGAAUAAGAAGGUCCGGCUAACUUCGUGCCAGCAGCCGCGGUAAUACGAAGGGACCUAGCGUAGUUCGGAAUUACUGGGCUUAAAGAGUUCGUAGGUGGUUGAAAAAGUUGGUGGUGAAAUCCCAGAGCUUAACUCUGGAACUGCCAUCAAAACUUUUCAGCUAGAGUAUGAUAGAGGAAAGCAGAAUUUCUAGUGUAGAGGUGAAAUUCGUAGAUAUUAGAAAGAAUACCAAUUGCGAAGGCAGCUUUCUGGAUCAUUACUGACACUGAGGAACGAAAGCAUGGGUAGCGAAGAGGAUUAGAUACCCUCGUAGUCCAUGCCGUAAACGAUGUGUGUUAGGCGUUGGAAAUUUAUUUUCAGUGUCGCAGGGAAACCGAUAAACACACCGCCUGGGGAGUACGACCGCAAGGUUAAAACUCAAAUGAAUUGACGGGGACCCGCACAAGUAGUGGAGCAUGUGGUUUAAUUCGAAGAUACGCGCAGAACCUUACCAACACUUGACAUGU
rnacentral:rRNA from 1 species